rnacentral:SRP_RNA from 1 species
GCCCAGCACUGUGGUGCAUGCCUGUAGUCCUAGCUACUCAGGAGGCUGAGAUGAGAGGAUCGCUUGAGCCCAGGAGUUCUGGGCUGUAGUGCGCUAUGCCAAUCGGGUGUCCGCACUAAGUUCAGCAUCAAUAUGGUGACUUCCCGGGAGCGGAGGACCACCAGGUUGCCUAAGGAGGGGUGAACUGGCCCAGGUCAGAAACGGAGCAGGUCAAAACUCCCAUGCUGAUCAGUAGUGGGAUCAUGCCUGUGAAUAGCCACUGCACUCCAGCCUGGGCAACAUAGUGAGACCCUGUCUCU